rnacentral:rRNA from 1 species
GUCGAACGAAGGCUUCGGCCUUAGUGGCGCACGGGUGCGUAACGCGUGGGAAUCUGCCCCUCGGUUCGGAAUAACAGCGAGAAAUUGCUGCUAAUACCGGAUAAUGACGUAAGUCCAAAGAUUUAUCGCCGAGAGAUGAGCCCGCGUAGGAUUAGCUAGUUGGUGUGGUAAAGGCGCACCAAGGCGACGAUCCUUAGCUGGUCUGAGAGGAUGAUCAGCCACACUGGGACUGAGACACGGCCCAGACUCCUACGGGAGGCAGCAGUGGGGAAUAUUGGACAAUGGGCGAAAGCCUGAUCCAGCAAUGCCGCGUGAGUGAUGAAGGCCUUAGGGUUGUAAAGCUCUUUUACCCGGGAUGAUAAUGACAGUACCGGGAGAAUAAGCUCCGGCUAACUCCGUGCCAGCACCCG